rnacentral:rRNA from 1 species
AGAGUUUGAUCAUGGCUCAGGAUGAACGCUAGCGGCAGGCUUAACACAUGCAAGUCGAGGGGUAACGGGAGUGCUUGCACUCGCCGACGACCGGCGCACGGGUGCGUAACGCGUAUACAAUCUACCCUUUACUGGGGAAUAGCCCAGAGAAAUUUGGAUUAAUGCCCCAUAGUACAUAUAUAUGGCAUCAUAUUUAUGUUAAAGGCUACGGUAAAGGAUGAGUAUGCGUACCAUUAGUUAGUUGGUAAGGUAACGGCUUACCAAGACCGCGAUGGUUAGGGGCCCUGAGAGGGGGAUCCCCCACACUGGUACUGAGACACGGACCAGACUCCUACGGGAGGCAGCAGUGAGGAAUAUUGGACAAUGGGCGAGAGCCUGAUCCAGCCAUGCCGCGUGUAGGAAGACUGCCCUAUGGGUUGUAAACUACUUUUACAUGGGAAGAAUAAGGGUCACGUGUGGCCUUAUGACGGUACCAUGAGAAUAAGGACCGGCUAACUCCGUGCCAGCAGCCGCGGUAAUACGGAGGGUCCGAGCGUUAUCCGGAAUUAUUGGGUUUAAAGGGUCCGUAGGCGGGCCGUUAAGUCAGGGGUGAAAGUUUGUGGCCCAACCAUAAAAUUGCCUUUGAUACUGACGGUCUUGAGUUAUAGUGAAGUUGCCGGAAUAUGUAGUGUAGCGGUGAAAUGCAUAGAUAUUACAUAGAACACCGAUUGCGAAGGCAGGUGACUAACUAUAUACUGACGCUGAUGGACGAAAGCGUGGGGAGCGAACAGGAUUAGAUACCCUGGUAGUCCACGCCGUAAACGAUGGAUACUAGCUGUUCGGUCUUCGGACUGAGCGGCCAAGCGAAAGUGAUAAGUAUCCCACCUGGGGAGUACGUUCGCAAGAAUGAAACUCAAAGGAAUUGACGGGGGCCCGCACAAGCGGUGGAGCAUGUGGUUUAAUUCGAUGAUACGCGAGGAAACUUACCAGGGCUUAAAUGUAGAUUGACAGGGCUAGAGAUAGCUUUUCCUUAGAGUUUUCUUCGGACAGAUCACAAGGUGCUGCAUGGUUGUCGUCAGCUCGUGCCGUGAGGUGUCAGGUUAAGUCCUAUAACGAGCGCAACCCCUGUUGUUAGUUGCCAGCACAUAAUGGUGGGGACUCUAACAAGACUGCCGGUGCAAACCGUGAGGAAGGUGGGGAUGACGUCAAAUCAUCACGGCCCUUACGUCCUGGGCUACACACGUGCUACAAUGGCCGGUACAGCGGGCAGCCACUGCGCAAGCAGGAGCGAAUCCACAAAACCGGUCACAGUUCGGAUCGGGGUCUGCAACUCGACCCCGUGAAGCUGGAAUCGCUAGUAAUCGGAUAUCAGCCAUGAUCCGGUGAAUACGUUCCCGGGCCUUGUACACACCGCCCGUCAAGCCAUGGAAGCCGGGAGUGCCUGAAGUCCGUCACCGUAAGGAGCGGCCUAGGGCAAAAUUGGUAACUAGGGCUAAGUCGUAACAAGGUAAC